rnacentral:snRNA from 1 species
AGCAACAGUCGAAGCAUCAAGCAGACAAUCCCCUCGCCUUUUACUAGGGGAUUCCGUGCUGCUUCGACACUCCAAUGUUGCAAAUCAAUCUUUGGAAUCUCAGCUCUUCUGGAGC